GCGGACGGGUGAGUAAUGCUUGGGAAUCUAGCUUAUGGAGGGGGAUAACUACGGGAAACUGUAGCUAAUACCGCGUAAUAUCGAGAGAUUAAAGUGUGGGACCUUCGGGCCACAUGCCAUAAGAUGAGCCCAAGUGGGAUUAGGUAGUUGGUGAGGUAAAGGCUCACCAAGCCGACGAUCUCUAGCUGGUCUGAGAGGAUGACCAGCCACACUGGGACUGAGACACGGCCCAGACUCCUACGGGAGGCAGCAGUGGGGAAUAUUGCGCAAUGGGGGCAACCCUGACGCAGCCAUGCCGCGUGAAUGAAGAAGGCCUUCGGGUUGUAAAGUUCUUUCGGUAGUGAGGAAGGCAUUUAGUUUAAUAGACUAGGUGAUUGACGUUAACUACAGAAGAAGCACCGGCUAACUCCGUGCCAGCAGCCGCGGUAAUACGGAGGGUGCGAGCGUUAAUCGGAAUAACUGGGCGUAAAGGGCACGCAGGCGGUGACUUAAGUGAGGUGUGAAAGCCCCGGGCUUAACCUGGGAAUUGCAUUUCAUAC
rnacentral:rRNA from 1 species